GUGACUAGUCAACUGUGAGUGAAGGUGACAGCUGCCAUUCCAGGUGUGGUCUAUUUAAACUCCCAUGUCACUUCCCUUUUAGUGGCUUGAUGUAGAGAUAACAGCAGCACCAUCUGCAGUCCCUGAAUCGCCCUUUGUGGGAAAACCGACUUCUGAUCAGCAGCACUGGUUUGAACUUUACAGGAGCUGAAAUCAUGUUCAUUCAUGGAGUGAAAAAGGAGAUAAAGAUAUCAAAUCUACAAAUAUUGAACAAGUUUUUCACCAAUAAACCAUUACUAAAGGAUAUACACUUCAAGAAGGAGAAUAAUGACUCCAGAAAGAAAGUUUAAGAUGCAAGAAGUGGCUACGGCUAUGAUGAUUUCUGGCAAUCAAGUAUAGAAGAAUUGUUUUUAAAAAUCUAUGACUCUCUACUCUUUUGUUGGGCAGUUUGAUAUCAAUACCCAGAAUAAAUUUGUAAGUAACAAGUUGAAAAUAGCAGGACUGAGUUUCUAAACGACUGUGUAGAGAAAAGUACAAAAUUGUUACCUCACCAAUGCUAACUAAUAACAUUCUGUCAGAUGUUACAUGAAUGAGAUAUAAAUGUAUACCUUGCUAAGCUCCAGACUUUCUAGGGUUUCUUUUUUAUGCCUUCUAGCAUUAUCUUACUAAUAUAGAACUUAAUACAUAAAAAUGAAAACGGGUAACUGACAGAACAACACAGUAAAUAUUUGGAAUUUCCAUGACAGUGAGGAUGAAGAUGGAAACGAAUGCAUACUGGAGAAUGAGGAGAUGAAGUGUCAUGCUAUGCAGCGGAAAACAUUUGGUAAAACUGUCAUCCUUGAGAGCUUAGAAAGGUAAUCUGAAACGCUUCUAAACCUAGAAAAGGAGUUACAAGACAGAACGUUAAAAAUGUGUGAUUAUUACUAGCUACAUUCAUCGAAUUAUUAGAAGAAAGACAUGAGCUCAGGAAAAUACUGGUUAGGUUGUUGGGAGAAUAAAUGAAAAUAGAAAGAAUGCAAAAUGUGGGACCUUGGUCAGUAUAGCAGAUUAAUUGAAAAACUGUUCUUAAUUCUCCAUCACUGCCUGUAUUCACAUCCUUCACUGGGUAACUUUGCACAUCUUACCAUUAGAAAAUGGAGUCUCUUAACCCAUGCUUUGAGUAUGGCUUGCCUUAUGAUUUGCUUUGGCCACUAUAUUGUAGCUUUAAUUCUUUUGUGCUGCUCUCACUCUUGGACCCUUGCCUUUACCAUGAGAACAAUCAGGAAAAUUAGGAUAUAGAACAUUUUUUAUAAACCCCAAGUUCUUCCUCAUAUCUCUUCCCAAUUAUUUCACCCAUGUCCCAGGCAAUCAAUGAGCUGAUGUCCAUAAUUUAGGAACACUUUCACCAGUUUUAUACUUUUAUGUAAAUUGAAUAAUACACUACGUAGUAUUUUGAGUAUGUCUUCUGUCUCUCUGUGUAAGAUUUAUAAGAUUCAUUUAAGUUGUUGUGCACAUCGGUAGUUAAUUCCUUUUAAUCGCCGAGGAGUAUAUCGAUAUAUGGAUAUGCUACAGUUUGUUUAUCCAGACGCCUGCUGACUGUUGGACAUUUGGUUUUCAGUUUUAGGCUAUUAUGAAUAAAACUUUAUACAAGUAUUUGUGAACACACAUUUUUAAUUCUUUGGGGUAAGUAAAAAGCAUAGAAAUUCUAGAAUGUACGGUAAGUAAAUGUUCAACUGUAUAAGUACUUACCAGACUAUUUUUCCAUUGUACCUGUAUAAUUUAACAUGUCUACCAACAGUGUAGGAAAUUUCCAGUUGUUCUACAUCUUUGAAAAUACUUGGUAUUGUCAAUCAUUUAAUUUUAGUCAUUUUUGUAGUACUGUAGUGAUACUAAAGUGUGGUUUCAAUUUAUAUUGCCUGAUGACUAACAACUUGGAGCUACUUUGGAUGUUUUUAUUAGCCAUUCGCAUACUCAAAUCUUUGGUUCAUUUUUUAUGUUGCAUUUUUUCCUUCCCAGCAUUAAAUGUAAGAAUUAUUAGUUCAUACUGGAUACAAGUUCUUUAUCAAAUAUAUAUUGCACAUAUUUUCUUCCAAUCUGAGCUUGCCUUUUUAUUUUCUUACCAUUGUCUUUUGACAAAAGCAGGUUUUAAUUUUGAUGAAGUUCUUUUAAUCUUAUUGUUUUCUUAGUGGUUUUUCGUUUUCUGUCUUAAGAAGUAUUUUCUGACUCCAGAAAGUAAAAAGUGAGAUAUUGUUCUAUGUAUUUGUAGAAUACAUAGAAAAUACAUAGAUUUACAUUUAGGUAUGUAGAAAUCUAUACAGAAUACAGAGAUUUACAUUUAGGGCUAUGAUCCAAUUUAAGUUUAUUUGCUGUUUAUGGUACAGGAUAUGGUUAAAGGAUCAACUUAUUUAACAGUGAUAUCCAUUUGUUUCAGCACUACUUAUUCAAAAUAUUACCCUUUCCCUAUUGAAUAAAGUGGCAUUUUUUUGAUGGACUUUAGAAGGCAGGUAAAUUUCUGAGCUUUCUUCUGUUGCAUUAAUCUAUAAGCCUAUCUUUAUGCCAAUGUCUCAUUUUCUUGAUUAUCAUUACUUUUAGAAUAAAUAUUGAGUAAAUCUUUAAAUUAAGUAGUGCAAGUCUUCUAAGUUUGUUUCUUUUUCUACCUUUGGCUAUUUCAUAUGCUUUGAAUUUCAUGUAAGUUUCAGAAGUAGCUUGCUAAAUUUCACAAAAGUAGAAGCAGGCUAGGAUUUUGACUGGAUAAUAUUUAAUACAUAUAUCAACUGUGAGAGAAUUGACUUCUGAACACUAUUGAGUCUUGUAUUCCAUGAACACGGUAUAUCUCCUUAUUUUGGUAUUCUUUUAUUUCUCUCAUAAAUGUUAUGCAAAUUCUCAGUGUACAGGUCUUCUGCGUAUUUUGUUUAGUUUAUCCCUAAAUAUUAAUUUUAGGGUUUUUGUUGUAGAUUCUUGAAAAUACACAUACACAUUUAUGCCACCUCCAAUCAGAGGCAGGUUUAUUCCUUCCUUUUCCAUCUCAAAGCCAUAAUUAUUAUUUUUAAUGCCUGACUAUACUGUCCAGGUCUCCCGUUAAGUGUGGAACAGAGGUGGUGAUAAAAGGAAAGGGGAAAUAUUUUAGUCUCUUACCAUUACGAUGCUGAAUAUUGACUUUUUGUAGGUGUAUUUUUCCUAGAUGAGAAAGUUUCCCUCUAAUCCUACAUAUUUGACAGUUUCAUCGUGUAUAAUGGAUUUUGUUAUAUGCAUUUUCUGUAUUUACUAAGAUGAUGUAAGAUUAUUUUCUUUUAUCCCAUUCAUGUGACUAAUUAUAUAAAUUGCUUUUUAAUAGUUAAAACACUGUACAUUCCUGAGAUAAAUCCAAGUUGGUUGGCCACGUUAUAUAAUUUCUUCUUUACAUGUUUGAUAGAAUUCAUCAACGAAACUAACUGGGACUCAAUUUUUUAUAGUAUAAGGGUUUUUAAUUACAAAUUUAAUUUCACUGAUAGAUAUGGAAAAAUUCAUAUUUUCUGUUUCUACUUGUGCCAGUUAUAAGAAUUAUUUAUUUUAAGGAGCUUUUUUAUUUGACCUAGUUGUAAAAUUAAAUGUUGUCAGUUAACAUUGCCUUCCUGUACUUUAAAUGUUUUAGGAUAGAGACGUAGUGAUGUUUCCUCUUUCAUGAUUGAUAUUGGUUAAAUUUUAUCUCUUGUUUUUGAUGUGUAUCAGUUUUAUUAAUAUUUUCUAAAAAUGAGAUUUGAGUUUUACUUUUUCCUUAUUAUCUGUCCAUUUUUAAUUUAACUGAUAUCUACUACUUAAUCUUUCUUUUCUUCUACUAUCUUUCAUCUUAAAUUAAUUUCAUUUUCCAUUUGUUUAAGGUAGAAGUUUAGAUCAUUAAAUUUUGAAUUUUCCCUUUUAAAUGACAAAAAUUUACCAUUAAGUAUUGCUUUAACUAUAUCACACACAUGUUGUGUUUUCAUUAUUAUUCAGUUAAAAAUAUUUUCUACUUUCUUUUGUGAUUUCCUCUUGAUCAUUUUGUUAUUUAGAUGUGUGUUUUGAAUUUCUAAAUAUUUGGUGAUUUUUAAAGUAUUCUUUUGUUAUUGAUACAUAAUUUAAUUUUGUUGCAAUUAGAGAGCAUACGCUCUUCGUUUUUAGUCUUUUUUAGGGGUAAGACUUGUUUU